CCCUUAGAUGUUCUGGGCUGCACGCGCGCUACACUGAUGCGCUCAACGAGUUUUAACCUUGCCUGGAAAGGUUGGGUAAUCUUUUUAAAACGCAUCGUGAUGGGGAUAGAUUAUUGCAAUUAUUAAUCUUCAACGAGGAAUUCCUAGUAAGCGCGAGUCAUCAGCUCGUGCUGAUUGCGUCCCUGCCCUUUGUACACACCGCCCGUCGCUCCUACCGAUUGAGUGAUCCGGUGCAUAAUUCGGACUGCGGCAUUGACCGGUUCCCGAUCGUUGCUGCGGAAAGUUUAGUGAACCUUAUCACUUAGAGGAAGGAGAAGUCGUAACA
rnacentral:rRNA from 1 species